rnacentral:rRNA from 1 species
CACAAGCGGCGGAGCAUGCGGAUUAAUUCGAUGCAACGCGAAGAACCUUACCAAGGCUUGACAUACACCGGUAACGCCCAGAGAUGGGUGCCCCUUUGUGGUCGGUGGUACAGGUGGUGCAUGGUUGUCGUCAGCUCGUGUCGUGAGAUGUUGGGUUAAGUCCCGCAACGAGCGCAACCCUCGUCCUAUGUUGCCAGCGGGUCAUGCCGGGGACUCAUGGGAGACUGCCGGGGUCAACUCGGAGGAAGGUGGGAUGACGUCAAAUCAUCAUGCCCCUUAUGUCUUGGGCUUCACGCAUGCUACAAUGGCCGGUACAAAGGGCUGCGAUACCGCGAGGUGGAGCGAAUCCCAGAAAGCCGGUCUCAGUUCGGAUUGGGGUCUGCAACUCGACCCCAUGAAGUCGGAGUCGCUAGUAAUCGCAGAUCAGCAACGCUGCGGUGAAUACGUUCCCGGGCCUU